rnacentral:rRNA from 1 species
UAACACGUGGGGAACCUGCCCCAUAGUCUGGGAUACCACUUGGAAACAGGUGCUAAUACCGGAUAAGAAAGCGGAUCGCAUGAUCAGCUUUUAAAAGGCGGCGUAAGCUGUCGCCUAUGGGAUGGCCCCGCGGUGCAUUAGCUAGUUGGUAAGGUAAAGGCUUACCAAGGCGAUGAUGCAUAGCCGAGUUGAGAGACUGAUCGGCAACAUUGGGACUGAGACACGGCCCAAACUCCUACGGGAGGCAGCAGUU